rnacentral:SRP_RNA from 1 species
GCCGGGCGUAGUGGCGGGCGCCUGUAAUCCCAGCUACUCAGGAGGCUGAGGCAGGAGAAUCGCUUGAACCCGGGAGACAGAGGUUGCAGUGAGCCGAGAUAGCGCCACUGCACUCCAGCCUCGGUGACAGAGCGAGACUCUGUCUCAA